CAAAAAUAAUUAAAUUAAUAUUUUUGUUAUAUUGGAAUAGAUAGAUAUAUAUAAAUGGGAGCUUUUGACCCAUUUGAAUCUUUUGUUUUUCCACAUUCCAUUUUCUCACACCUUCAGCUAUGUCAGGUCCUGCUCGUAGAGCUCCAGCAUACCAUUCAUCUGCCAUUUAUGCGUGGUAUAAACGCUAUGAAUGCUUAGUUCAAGUUCAAAUCAAAUUUAAUGACAAGCGCUGCCUCUGACCAGGCUGGCGCAAGAGGAGCCGAGCUGAGCUGAGCUUGAAGCAGCCAAACAUGCAUUUAAAUGCAGCCUGAUUUGAUUACAAAGCCGUGUCAGGAGUGGAGGGGCGAGUGCAAGCGCGCUGAGUGCUGACGGCUACAACAAUCGUGCUUUGUUAUCCAUAUGUCAGAAGCAUUCGUCAAUCAACUAAAUGCGCUUGUCAAACAGAGAGGAAAUUGCAAAGGAUUUCUUUGGCUGAUGUGCCUGGCAUUGGAAGACAAUUUACGUGGCGUAUGCUUAAUAUACACAAUUUAAUAAAAGAGAAGGAAAAAUCUCUAUUCCAAUUUUA